rnacentral:tRNA from 1 species
GGGGAUUUAGCUCAGUGGCAUAAGCACCUGCCUUGCAAGCAGGAAGUCGUGAGUUCGAUCCCUG